rnacentral:rRNA from 1 species
ACCGGUGCCAGCCGCCGCGGUAAUACCGGCUGCUCGAGUGAUGGCCACUAUUACUGGGUUUAAAGCGUCCGUAGCUUGACUGUUAGGUCUCUUGGGAAAUCUUCACGCUCAACGUGAAGGCGUCUAAGAGAUACCGGCAGUCUUGGAACUGGGAGAGGUAAACCGUACUUCGGGGUAGGAGUGAAAUCUUGUAAUCCUCGAGGGACGACCUAUGGCGAAGGCAGUUUACCAGAACAGCUUCGACAGUGAGGGACGAAAGCUGGGGGAGCAAACGGGAUUAGAUACCCCGGUAGUCCCAGCCGUAAACAAUGCGCGUUAGGUGUGUCGGUAACCACGUGUUACUGAUGCGCCGAAGAGAAAUCGUGAAACGCACCACCUGGGAAGUACGGUCGCAAGGCUGAAACUUAAAGGAAUUGGCGGGGGAGCAUCACAACAGGUGGAGCCUGCGGUUUAAUUGGAUUCAACGCCGGACAUCUCACCGGAUAAGACAGCUGAAUGAUUGUCAAUCUGAAGGUUUUACAUGACUAGCUGAGAGGAGGUGCAUGGCCGUCGUCAGUUCGUACUGUGAAGCAUCCUGUUAAGUCAGGCAACGAGCGAGACCCGCGCCGACAAUUGCCAGCAGCAUCUCCGGAUGGCUGGGGACAUUGUCGGGACCGCCUCUGCUAAAGGGGAGGAAGGAAUGGGUAACGAGCGAGACCCG